GUUUCUCUUAACUUUUGCCGGUGAUUUCGCUUGUGAAGGCCACCAAAUUUCUCAUUUUCUCUAAAAUCUGGCCUCAAACAACCCUUUCCAUUCCAACACAUGGGCGGGUCAACAGAAUCCUAAUCAACAGUAAGCUCUCAAGCUUCGCCCACCGCCGCUUUGUUCUUCUUUUUCUUCCCCGUGCUGCGCCGUUCUUUGCAGAUGCUUGUAGAUCGAUAGUUGAUUGCGAUUUGUGUGUGAAAAGUGCAGGUUAAGGAGGGAAAAGAGAUGACCAGUGGGAUGCUGCUCGUGGAAUUCUUAGUAUCUGAUCUCAUCAAUUUUUUGGGUUUUCUUUUAUAGUGGUGCUGCAAUUGGACAUUUCUUUGGUUCUUUUCGCUCGCACGCUUGUCUCAUCAAUUUAUUGGAAGUGGUUCAGAAUUCCAUGUUCAGGAUGGAAAAAAACUACUUGAUUACGUGGCUGAACAUAUUCAAUAGCUCCAGUAGCUAUUAGCUGUUGAGGAGUUAGGUCUAUCUUUGCAAAUGCUAAUAUCAUCAAAGAAUGGAAGCAAGAGGUAGAGCAAUACCAAAGAAAAAUUCAGUUGUAAGCAAGUUCUUUACAAUAUAUUAUGAGUAUACAAGAGAGUUGCAGGUUUAAAUUGUAUUCACUGUUUCUGAAUUGUUUUGAGCUAUCUAUGUGAUU